rnacentral:lncRNA from 1 species
CAUAUUUCCGUGAAAAAGUCCGCGGUAGUGCACAUUGCAGGGUGUCAUCAAGGAAGCAUCAAAAUGGCAACUCGACUAUUAACACCAUUCAACAUCAUAAUUCAGCGAGGUGACUAACGCAACGCUUGAUCACAAUCGGUCGGUACGUCCCAUGUACUUACAUUCUGAAUGUGUUGCGUGGGCUAUGUCGGCAUUGUCCUCUACGCCGUUCCCUGUGUGACUAAGCAGUAAUGGCACGUUCGUAAACAAAGGUUAUGGCUGAUGAUAUCACCUUGUUCUUGGAAAUGUCGCCGGACAUGAAAGGCUCGUUUGUUGACCUUUGGAGGGGACGGGAUGAUUGACACUCUUUCCGCUUCAUGGUCCGUUUUUGCCGGUAUAAAAAGCGACCAAAGGAAACAUGGGCAUAUCCUGUUGAGUCGUCUCUCACCAACAAUGCGUCUGCUGCCAUUGAUUGCCGUGCUUUGUCUGGUGUUGGUGACCACUGAAGGUGGAAGGUGUCGCAAAUUCGGCAAGGCGUGUGGAAUAGGGAACAGGGAUGUGUGCCGCUGGUGUUGGAGGCCUCACAAGCGUCUCUGCUGUCUUCCGGGCGACACAUACGGUGACUGCGGGAGAAAAUGCAGUUUCCCAAAUACCUGCAGCACACUCAACGGCGAUUGUCACAAAGGAUGGUGCUGCGUAUACUGCAAAGGAAAACAUUGCAGGAAAGGCUAGCUGCACCACUUGCUGCCGGCUGCCGCUGUUGUCAAGGGAUGGAUAACGACUGCACUGACACCAGAUGUGAAGUGACUGCAUGCACAAGGAAGACCCAUGCUAUGCUGGUGGCAUAACAGCAAGGUCGCACGUAAUUCUCAACAGGCGUUUAUGCGAGCCGGACAUUUAGCUGUUUGUAGUU